CACAUCUUGUCCUCCAACCUACUCCCCCUGUGAUUUCCUUGUAUCAGUAAUGGCACCAGCGUUCACACAGAUGCAGAAAUGGAGGUUCAGAAAGUCAAAAUGGGGGUCACGUAGCAGUUAUCACCAGUGAUGGGGCAAACGACCUCUAUGCCUCCUGACAUGACACACCGAGAGGAGCACAGCAUCACCUCUGUGAUGUUCCUGCCAAAAGUGCAUACUCUGAAUCUAAUCAAGAAGCAGCACCAGACAAACUCAAUUUGA